UACGUAGGGUGCAAGCGUUGUCCGGAAUUAUUGGGCGUAAAGAGCUCGUAGGCGGUUUGUCGCGUCUGCUGUGAAAACCCGGGGCUCAACUCCGGGCCUGCAUUCGAUACGGGCGGACUAGAGUUCGGUAGGGGAGACUGGAAUUCCUGGUGUAGCGGUGGAAUGCGCAGAUAUCAGGAGGAACACCGAUGGCGAAGGCAGAUCUCUGGGCCGUAACUGACGCUGAGGAGCGAAAGCGUGGGGAGCGAACAGG
rnacentral:rRNA from 1 species